rnacentral:rRNA from 1 species
UGGGGAAUUUUGGACAAUGGGCGAAAGCCUGAUCCAGCAAUGCCGCGUGUGUGAAGAAGGCCUUCGGGUUGUAAAGCACUUUUGUCCGGAAAGAAAUCCUUGGCUCUAAUACAGUCGGGGGAUGACGGUACCGGAAGAAUAAGCACCGGCUAACUACGUGCCAGCAGCCGCGGUAAUACGUAGGGUGCAAGCGUUAAUCGGAAUUACUGGGCGUAAAGCGUGCGCAGGCGGUUUGCUAAGACCGAUGUGAAAUCCCCGGGCUCAACCUGGGAACUGCAUUGGUGACUGGCAGGCUAGAGUAUGGCAGAGGGGGGUAGAAUUCCACGUGUAGCAGUGAAAUGCGUAGAGAUGUGGAGGAAUACCGAUGGCGAAGGCAGCCCCCUGGGCCAAUACUGACGCUCAUGCACGAAAAGCGUGGGGGAGCAAAACAGGAUUAGAUACCCUGGUAGUCCACGCCCUAAAACGAUGUCAACUAGUUGUUGGGGAUUCAUUUCCUUAGUAACGUAGCUAACGCGUGAAGUUGACCGCCUGGGGAGUACGGUCGCAAGAUUAAAAACUCAAAGGAAUUGACGGGGUCAUAGCUGUUUCCU